UUCGCCGUCGACCCGACGCAGACGAAGCCACCAAACAUUGAAGUCGCGAGCCGCGUUGUUUCCAGCCACGCCAUCUGUCUGCCUGUCACUGGUUUGGAUUGCCGUGGAUCGCGGUGGUUCCAACCGUUUUGUCUGUUCGGGAUAAACUUGUCUCGUGGAGUUGAAUUUGAGUUUGUGUUGGUGUAGAUGUUGAUUUGAUGCGUUGUGGUUCAAUCUCUUUCGAUCUCUAAUACUUGAUUUUUUGAUUCACACUUGAUCCCUGAUUCAAAGACUUAUGUCCCCAAGAAAGUGUGCAGCUUCAGAAUUGUAGAGUCUUCUGAGUGAUUCAAAGACUUAUGUCUCCAAGAAAGUGUGUCCAAGAAAGUGUGCAGCUUCAGAAUUGUAGAGUCUUGUUGGUGAAUUAUCUCUAGGCUUUUUGGAAUGUAAAAUUCCUCUAUUUUAUUUAUAGGGUUAUCUGGUGGGUCUUGUAGGCUUAGACUUGGUUCAUGAAUCUUGCGCCCAAUUAGUUGGAUUUGGAUUUGGUUGGUCCAUGGGUUGGUCCAUGGGUUUGGCCUUUGGGCCAAGUUUAUUGGUUUGGGACUUUAUUUAACGUUUGGGUCAAAUUCAACUUUUUUUUCCCCC